rnacentral:rRNA from 1 species
UACGUAGGUCCCGAGCGUUGUCCGGAUUUAUUGGGCGUAAAGCGAGCGCAGGUAGUUUAUUAAGUCUGGUGUAAAAGGCGGUGGCUCAACCAUUGUAUGCAUUGGAAACUGGUAGACUUGAGUGCAGGAGAGGAGAGUGGAAUUCCAUGUGUAGCGGUGAAAUGCGUAGAUAUAUGGAGGAACACCGGUGGCGAAAGCGGCUCUCUGGCCUGUAACUGACACUGAGGCUCGAAAGCGUGGGGAGCAAACAGG